AGGUGACAUCCGUGAGGUUAGAGACAGAGGCUCUGGUGUGGACUGCCUGACAUGGUGCUAACUGCUGGAUGAAGUGAGCAGCUCUGCCCUAACACAUGACUCCAGCGUGGUGUGCUCCCUUCCUGAGAAACCAAAACCUGUUCUUCCGUAUGACUGGACUAGAACCUCCAAAGUUAAAUCUGCCCCAAUGUCUCUGCUCAAGCAGCGUGCCUACUGAGGCUAUACCAACCCCAUACCAACCGUAGCAGGACACCUCCAGCCUGAUUUUUUCACUGAGGAUGGGGCAGCCCCGGAAUCAUCAUAAUCUAUCGUGAUUCUGAUAUCGAUGUUUGAAAACAUGCCCACCGUAGUCUGCGC